rnacentral:rRNA from 1 species
UACGGGGGGGGCAAGCGUUGUUCGGAAUUACUGGGCGUAAAGGGCUCGUAGGUGGCCAACUAAGUCAGACGUGAAAUCUCUCGGCUUAACCGGGGAACUGCAUCUGAUACUGGAUGGCUUGAGAUUGGGAGAGGGAUGCGGAAUUCCAGGUGUAGCGGUGAAAUGCGUAGAUAUCUGGAGGAACACCGGUGGCGAAGGCGGCAUCCUGGACCAACACUGACACUGAGGAGCGAAAGCCAGGGGAGCAACCGGG